CACAGCAGCGCAGAUCCCAGCCCUCGCCGUUCUGAGUCUGCUCCACACUUCGCUGAGCGUGGCUGCUGGGCCUGGACCAGGCCAGGCUGACUUCUGUCCCUGCUGCUCCGGGAUGGUGACGAGAUGUCCACAGUGCUGACCUGGGGUGUCACUCCCCUGUCCCGCCUGCGUUGCGCUGUGCUGUCCUGCCAAGGCAGUGGGCACAGGUGUGGGGCUCUACUGUCCCUCUCCUCAAGUCACGGCUGUGGUUCAGCUUGAGCUCACUGGAGUCGGGUUUUCAGCUGUGCAGUGAGAUCAAG
rnacentral:lncRNA from 1 species